AUGGCUAUCGAGGCCGGCGGCUGGGGCUGCAAGAACUUCCUGCGUCCUGGGGAUCGCUCGGCAUCCACUUUUGCUGGGGCUCGGACCUGGAGCCGUUCAUCUUCCUCUGCUCUGUCAGGCAAUCACCCUUUUGCUGUUAUUAGCCCUGGGUACAUUGUCAUUCAGACAAUAUGGAAAAUUGUGUAUAAUUGGACAGAUUCUCUCUUGGGCCACACAGAUAGGAUGGAACAGUCCUGGGGUGUAUUCCUGAGCUGUUGUUUGAGAAAGCUGAAGAAAGUCUUGAUAUGUUGGCACCUGAUAACAUUUGAUGAAUUGAGACUGAAAAAGUACAGCUUUGAGGAGUUGAUGAUUUUAAUAGGAAUAGAGACCAGACCUCUGAUUUCAUUAGCAUCAGGAACACCUAUGGCCUCAGUGUUCUUCCUUAAUCCACAUGGAUGACUGGUUAGUCCACAGUGACGAAGAAGAUGAGUAAUGCAGCUAUAUGUUAUCUGAUAUUUGUACUCUUGGAUUUCACACUUUGCUGUAAGCUUGAGCCCUGUGAACAAACAUAUUAGAUGAUACCCUGGGACCACCUAACUGGAUUACUGUUGGAUAAUCUUUAUAGAGAAGAAUAAAAUAUCAUUUCCUGUUGAACUAAAUUUAAUG
rnacentral:lncRNA from 1 species